AUUGAACGCUGGCGGCAGGCCUAACACAUGCAAGUCGAGCGGAGCGGCGGACGGGUGAGUAAUGCCUAGGAAUCUGCCUGGUAGUGGGGGAUAACGUCCGGACACGGGCCCUAAUAUCGCAUACUAUCAGAUGAGCCUAGGUCGGAUUAACUAGUUGGUGGGGUAUAGGCCUACCAAGGCGACGAUCCGUAACUGGUCUGAGAGGAUGCUCAGUCACACUGGAACUGGGACACGGUCCAGACUCCACCGGGAGGCAACGGUGGGAAAUAUUGGACAAUGGAGGAGGGCCUGGUCCAGCCAUGCCGCGUGUGUGAAGAAGGUCUUCGGAUUGUAAAGCACUUUAAGUUGGAAGGCGUUACCAACAGAAUAGGCACCGGCUAACUUCGUGCCAGCCGCCGCGGUAAUUG
rnacentral:rRNA from 1 species